rnacentral:rRNA from 1 species
UACGGAGGGUGCGAGCGUUAAUCGGAAUUACUGGGCGUAAAGGGUGCGUAGGUGGUUUGAUAAGUUAUCUGUGAAAUUCCUGGGCUUAACCUGGGACGGUCAGAUGAUACUGUUGGACUCGAGUAUGGGAGAGGGUAGUGGAAUUUCCGGUGUAGCGGUGAAAUGCGUAGAGAUCGGAAGGAACACCAGUGGCGAAGGCGGCUACCUGGCCUAAUACUGACACUGAGGCACGAAAGCGUGGGGAGCAAACAGG